rnacentral:rRNA from 1 species
ACGCUGGCGGCACGCCUAAUACAUGCAAGUCGAACGCAGUAGCAAUACUGAGUGGCGAACGGGUGAGUAAUAUGUGGGUAUCUGCCUUUUGGUUUGGAAUAACACGGGGAAACUUGUGCUAAUACCGGAUAAGCCUUUACAGGGAAAGUUUUAACGCCGAAAGAUGAGCCCGCACUUGAUUAGCUAGUUGGUAAGGUAAAAGCUUACCAAGGCUACGAUCAAUAGCUGAUCUGAGAGGAUGAUCAGCCACAUUGGGACUGAGACACGGCCCAAACUCCUACGGGAGGCAGCAGUAGGGAAUCUUGCACAAUGGGGGAAACCCUGAUGCAGCGAUGCCGCGUGAGUGAAGAAGGCCCUUGGGUUGUAAAGCUCUUUCGUCGGGGAAGAAAAUGACUGUACCCGAAUAAGAAGGUCCGGCUAACUUCGUGCCAGCAGCCGCGGUAAUACGAAGGGACCUAGCGUAGUUCGGAAUUACUGGGCUUAAAGAGCUCGUAGGUGGUUAGAAAAGUUGGUGGUGAAAUCCCAAGGCUUAACCUUGGAACUGCCGCCAAAACUUUUUAACUAGAGUAUGAUAGAGGAAAGUGGAAUUUCUAGUGUAGAGGUGAAAUUCGUAGAUAUUAGAAGGAACACCAAUUGCGAAGGCAACUUUCUGGAUCAUUACUGACACUGAGGAGCGAAAGCAUGGGUAGCGAAGAGGAUUAGAUACCCUCGUAGUCCAUGCUGUAAACGAUGUGUGCUAGACGUUGGAAAUUUAAUUUUCAGUGUCGCAGCAAAAGCGUUAAGCACACCGCCUGGGGAGUACGACCGCA